rnacentral:rRNA from 1 species
AGGCGACGAUCAGUAGCGGGUCUGAGAGGAUGAUCCGCCACACUGGGACUGAGACACGGCCCAGACUCCUACGGGAGGCAGCAGUGGGGAAUUUUGGACAAUGGGGGCAACCCUGAUCCAGCCAUUCCGCGUGAGUGAAGAAGGCCUUCGGGUUGUAAAGCUCUUUCAGCAGGAACGAAACGGUAGGGGCUAAUACCCUCUGCUAAUGACGGUACCUGCAGAAGAAGCACCGGCUAACUACGUGCCAGCAGCCGCGGUUAUACGUAGGGUGCGAGCGUUAAUCGGAAUUACUGGGCGUAAAGCGUGCGCAGGCGGAUUGUUAAGCAAGACGUGAAAUCCCCGGGCUUAACCUGGGAAUGGCGUUUUGAACUGGCAGUCUAGAGUGUGUCAGAGGGGGGUGGAAUUCCACGUGUAGCAGUGAGAUGCGUAGAGAUGUGGAGGAACACCAAUGGCGAAGGCAGCCCCCUGGGAUAACACUGACGCUCAUGUACGAAAGCGUGGGUAGCAAACAGGAUUAGAUACCCUGGUAGUCCACGCCCUAAACGAUGUCAACUGGUUGUUGGGGGAGUGAAAUCCCUUAGUAACGAAGCUAACGCGUGAAGUUGACCGCCUGGGGAGUACGGUCGCAAGAUUAAAACUCAAAGGAAUUGACGGGGACCCGCACAAGCGGUGGAUGAUGUGGAUUAAUUCGAUGCAACGCGAAAAACCUUACCUACCCUUGACAUGUCCAGAAUCCUGCAGAGAUGCGGGAGUGCCCGAAAGGGAAUUGGGACACAGGUGCUGCAUGGCUGUCGUCAGCUCGUGUCGUGAGAUGUUGGGUUAAGUCCCGCAACGAGCGCAACCCUUAUCAUUAGUUGCUGCGCAAGGGCACUCUAAUGAUGCUGCCGGUGACAACCGGAGGAAGGUGGGGAUGACGUCAAGUCCUCAUGGCCCUUAUGGGUAGGGCUUCACACGUCAUACAAUGGUCGGUACAGAGGGUUGCCAAGCCGCGAGGUGGAGCCAAUCCCAGAAAGCCGAUCGUAGUCCGGAUUGUUCUCUGCAACUCGAGAGCAUGAAGUCGGAAUCGCUAGUAAUCGCGGAUCAGCAUGUCGCGGUGAAUACGUUCCCGGGUCUUGUACACACCGCCCGUCACACCAUGGGAGUGGAAUCUGCCAGAAGUAGGUAGCCUAACCGCAAGGAGGGCGCUUACCACGGUGGGUUUCAUGACUGGGGUGAAGUCGAAACAAGGUA